CUCCAAAGGAGAUAUAUAAACAUACAGUCACAAGUGUCACUCCUUUCAUGUUUGGGAGACUGGCAGCCUUUUGCUGACUUGUUCAUUGAUGAACCCUGGCUCAUACUACUGGGACAGAAGCAAUUGUACUUGGUCUGCUGAUUCCUCAGGCGCAGGUGGGACCAGAAGAACAAGGAGUAGGAGGAGGAAGGAGAGACCCAGACAAGACUUUCUUUCAAGAGAGGGAAAAAGAAGCAAAGAGGUCCUUGUGUUGGGACAUGAGACUGACAAGCACUCUUUUGAAGAAUGGGCCUAAGGUAGGUGGCAUCUGGAAGCAUUCUGUGGGUUUGUGCUAGCCAGGUUGUGACACACUUUUUUUGAAUAAAAUUUGACACAGAUUUACAAAGCUGUGGAAACUAAAUGACCACUUCAGGAAGCAAGAAACACUUCCCCUGUGGACAAAACUAAAGCAAUUGCUGAGGAACAGUAUUUGAUUCCUAGUUUCUUUCUAAAUUACUCAAUACAGGCUGUUGCUAGAGGCAAGACAUUGGACUUAAUGUAUAAAGAGUGCAAUUUAGUAUAGAAAAUCCUAUUAGUCAAUUUAACUUUAUGUUGAAAUGCUACAAAACCACAUAAGAACAAGUUAUUUCAUAGAAAAACUGAAAAAGUGUGCUGUGGAAGUGGUUCUUGUGUAAUAAAUAGAAAAUAAAAUACUGUGUAAUGAUCUAGAUUUAUGCAUGGCAAAUCCAGAAGUGGUCUGAGGAAAUGUAAGUAAUUUUGAUACACCCUUCCAUUACCACUGAACAAGUCCUUAGAGGCUCUAAGUUUAAGGGUAUUAAGGUAGCAAAACACCCUUUUGUGCAGUCACUAAACCAUGGUUACCUAGAUCUAAGAUUACAUAGUCUGGUGUGUGAGCUGGACACAGUGCUGCUUUCUUGUAGCAUAUCUAAGUGCCAUUAAGCAGUGGGAUUUGGUAGCCCAUAAUGGGUGUAAGGUUAUUUAAUGUUCCAUUAUGUUCUGGUUACUACUGUGCAAACUGGGCUCUUAAAUAUUAUUUUGUACACUACCAGCACUGAAUUGGCUGAUGUUACACAUUCACAGUAUUAAAGUUAAUGACCUAAAAUUAACAGUGAAGUGAAGGAAAUUUGAAGAAAAUUUUUCUCUGUAUGGAGUAAGGUUAGUAUCAUUACACUGGAAUUAGAUAGCAAAGAUCUAUACUUCGC
rnacentral:lncRNA from 1 species